GAGGUGUUAGUAAAGCAUUACAUUAUCUUGUCAAGAUAAAGUCACGACUAAAACUCUCGUGCACCUCC
rnacentral:tRNA from 1 species